UAAAUCAAUAUAUUCAAUAUAAUUUCUAUAACUUCUUCUAAAAUAUUAUCUUCAUUAUUAGUCCAUAUUCACAAGCUUCUUCCCUUCAACAUACCUUAAAGAUACACAUCACUCCCAAAUAAAUAAUAUAUGUCUAAAAACAUAUUCUUUUCUUGAGCUUUUAAGUUAUCAAAGCUUAUUCUUAAUAUAUUCUAUAUCUUAU
rnacentral:lncRNA from 1 species